UGUUAUCAAUGUACUUCAUAAUACUCUGCUCUUAUCUUCUUCAUUUGAGUUUAUGCUCCACUGUCUGUGCACACCAAAGUUCACUUCUUUUUCUUCAGCAUUCUUCAGAGAAAGAUGUCAAAAUUUGAAACAUAGUCUUAAAGACUACUGUUUUGCCUUGGAUCGCAGUGGGCUGUUAUGAUUCUGCAGACAACACGAGUUCAAUCUGCUACUCUUGUAGAUGAGUCUUAUAGUUUUUACAUCGAAAAUAGUACGAUGAAUCUUUCCAAUCGGGUGAAAAAAUGAUUCCUCAAAGUUACAGAUCAAGAUGAAACAUAGAGAAGGCUUGACCAAUUACCUAGGGGAUGUGGAGAGGUAACAUAAAGAAGAGAGAUUGGCCAGUGUGUGCAACUACUCCAAAAGUAUAAGAGACAUAAAUGCUUCCCUUCGGCAGAUGAAAAUAUUGUUAUGCAAAUAUGCAUUUUGCAAAGUCAGAAUUCAAUUGAUUAUUCUAUAAAAGUAAAGUUCAUCACCUACUGAGCUAAUUUGUUUUUACAUUAUUUAAUUUCUUUUGGAGUUGAGAGUGAAUUUAAAAUCUUUAUACUAAAUUCUAUCGUAUCUCUAAUUGUACGUGGCAAUUCAUAAAUAUAAGAUACAACAUAAUUAUUAGCGAUUA